rnacentral:rRNA from 1 species
CACCAAGGCGACGAUCCGUAACUGGUCUGAGAGGAUGAUCAGUCACACUGGAACUGAGACACGGUCCAGACUCCUACGGGAGGCAGCAGUGGGGGAAUAUUGGACAAUGGGCGAAAGCCUGAUCCAGCCAUGCCGCGUGUGUGAAGAAGGUCUUCGGAUUGUAAAGCACUUUAAGUUGGGAGGAAGGGUAGUAACCUAAUACGUUGCUACUUUGACGUUACCGACAGAAUAAGCACCGGCUAACUUCGUG